UACGGGGGGAGCAAGCGUUGUUCGGAUUUACUGGGCGUAAAGGGCGCGUAGGCGGCCAGCGCAAGUCAGUUGUGAAAUCUCCGGGCUUAACUCGGAACGGUCAACUGAUACUGCGCGGCUAGAGUGCAGAAGGGGCAACUGGAAUUCUCGGUGUAGCGGUGAAAUGCGUAGAUAUCGGAAGGAACAUCAGUGGCGAAAGCGACUUCCUGGACCAGUACCGACGUCAGGCACGAAAGCGUGGGGAGCAAACAGG
rnacentral:rRNA from 1 species